AGACCUCAGGUCAGGCGGGGCUACCCGCUGAGUUUAAGAUAUCAAUAAGCGGGAAAGAAA
rnacentral:rRNA from 1 species